rnacentral:rRNA from 1 species
ACAGGGCAGCAAUGUCUUGUUAGUGGCGAACGGUCGCGUAACACGUAAGCAACCUGCCUCAAAGUGGGGGACAACAGAUCGAAAGGUCUGCUAAUACCGCAUGUGGUCUCGUUUUCGCAUGUUAACGAGUCUAAAGCCUUGUGCGCUUUGAGAUGGGCUUGCGGCCUAUCAGGUAGUUGGUGGGGUAACGGCCUACCAAGCCGACGACGGGUAGCUGGUCUGAGAGGACGAUCAGCCGGAUUGGGACUGAGAUACGGCCCAGACUCCUACGGGGGGCAGCAAUUAGGAAUCUUGCACAAUGGGGGAAACCCUGAUGCAGCGACGCCGCGUGCGGGACGAAGGCCUUCGGGUCGUAAACCGCUUUUUUAGGGGAAGAAGCAUGUGACGGUACCCUAAGAAUAAGCCCCGGCUAACUACGUGCCAGCAGCCGCGGUAAUACGUAGGGGGCGAGCGUUGUCCGAAGUUACUGGGCGUAAAGCGCGCGUAGGCGGUCAUUUAAGUCUGAGGUGAAAGGUUCAGCGCUCAACGUGAACAGUGCCUUGGAUACUGGGUGACUUGAGUUCGGGAGGGGGCAGUGGAAUUCCAGGUGUAGCGGUGAAAUGCGUAGAUAUCUGGAGGAACACCGAUGGCGAAGGCAGCUGCCUGGCCCAGAACUGACGCUGAGGUGCGAAAGCGUGGGGAGCGAACGGGAUUAGAUACCCCGGUAGUCCACGCCGUAAACGAUGAGUGCUAGGUGUUCGGGGUAUCGACCCCCCGGGUGCCGCCGCUAACGCAGUAAGCACUCCGCC